UACGUAGGGGGCUAGCGUUGUCCGGAUUUAUUGGGCGUAAAGAGCGUGUAGGCGGCCAGGUAGGUCUGCUGUGAAAACUCGAGGCUCAACCUCGAGACGUCGGCGGAAACCAUCUGGCUAGAGUCCGGAAGAGGAGAGUGGAAUUCCUGGUGUAGCGGUGAAAUGCGUAGAUAUCCGAAGGAACACCGGUGGCGAAAGCGGCGCGCUGGAUCUCUUCUGACGCUGAGGCGCGAAAGCCAGGGGAGCAAACGGG
rnacentral:rRNA from 1 species